rnacentral:rRNA from 1 species
CUUGGUCAUUUAGAGGAAGUAAAAAGUCGUAACAAGGUUUCCGUAGGUGAACCUGCGGAAGGAUCAUUAUCGAAAUUAUUGGUGAGGGUUGUAGCUGGCCUUUCGAGGCAUGUGCACGCUCGAGCCCUUAAUCCACUUUACACCUGUGCACUUAAUGUAGGUCGCCCUUAAAAAAGGUGACCUAUGUCUUAUCAUCAACCCAUCGUAUGUCUCAUAGAAUGUAAUCGAUAUCCUCGCCCUGAAAAAGCGUUGAUAAACUUAUACAACUUUCAACAACGGAUCUCUUGGCUCUCGCAUCGAUGAAGAACGCAGCGAAAUGCGACAAGUAAUGUGAAUUGCAGAUUUUCAGUGAAUCAUCGAAUCUUUGAACGCACCUUGCGCUCCUUGGUAUUCCGAGGAGCAUGCCUGUUUGAGUGUCAUUAAAUUCUCAACUCCAAGGGUUUCACGACCUUUCGGAGAUUGGACUUGGAGGUGCUGGCCGCAUAUUGGUCGGCUCCUCUCAAAUGCAUCAGCGGAAUUCAACCUUUGGCUUCCGGAUGUCAGUGUGAUAAUCAUGUUGCGCUGUCGUUUGAUCCCUCAGAGUCCGCUUAUAAUGGUCUUCGGACAAAAUCAUCAUCAAAUUUGACCUCAAAUCAGGUAGGACUACCCGCUGAACUUAAGCAUAUCAAUAAGCGGAGAA